UUGGAGGGCAAGUCUGGUGCCAGCAGCCGCGGUAAUUCCAGCUCCAAUAGCGUAUAUUAAAGUUGCUGCAGUUUAAAAGCUCGUAGUUGAAUUUCGGGACCGAUAUAUCGGUCGUGCCUCGGUACGUACUGGUAUUUUCGGUUUCUCCCUUCUGACGAACCUUGAUGUCAUUAAUUUGGUGUCUUGGGGAAUCAGGACUGUUACUUUGAAAAAAUUAGAGUGUUUAAAGCAGGCUCACGCUUGAAUACAUUAGCAUGGAAUAAUGAAAUAGGACGUUUGAUUCUAUUUUGUUGGUUUCUAGGAUCGACGUAAUGAUUAAUAGGGAUAGUUGGGGGCAUUAGUAUUCAAUUGUCAGAGGUGAAAUUCUUGGAUUUAUUGAAGACUAACUACUGCGAAAGCAUUUGCCAAGGAUGUUUUCAUUAAUCAAGAACGAAAGUUAGGGGAUCGAAGACGAUCAGAUACCGUCGUAGUCUUAACCAUAAACUAUGCCGACUAGGGAUCGGAUGAUGUUAAUUUUUUAAUGACUCAUUCGGCGCCUUACGGGAAAC
rnacentral:rRNA from 1 species